rnacentral:piRNA from 1 species
UCCCAGUCAACUUUGACGGCUAACGUGGGC